CUCUACUCAAAUUUUGAGUGAACUUUGGAGAGCUUUUGGAGCCUUCUUCUCUAGUCUUAUCUUGAUGGAUCAUUGGAGUCCUCAAGUGGCGGCAUCACUCUCAUCUAGGAGCAUUCCACACUUCUAGUGGCGAGAUCAUCCAACAUUCUUCCAUCUUCAUGAGCACUCUCUUCUCCUUCCUUCCUUCUCUUUCAAUUGUUCAUGUUGUCUUGUGUUCUUGAGUUGUUUGGUUCAGCUUUUCUAUUUUUUUCCAGCACCUAUGUUCUGUUCUUGUCUUUUAAUUACACUUUUGUUCGGUUCAUAUGUUUGCUAAUUCAAUUCUGUUCAGUCCUUUCAAUUUUACCUCUCUUUGUUGAUUCAAUUUGACAAUAUGUGGAGCAUCCAAAUGAGUUUGGGAUUUGGUACUAGUUUUUGGUGAGUUCUUGUCUUAGAACAAUGAUCCAACUCUAAGAAAAGUGCCUCUAUAAUGUCCAGCUCAAGGUGAUUCCUAAGAAUGUCAAGAAUCA
rnacentral:lncRNA from 1 species